rnacentral:rRNA from 1 species
AUUGAACGCUGGCGGCAUGCUUUACACAUGCAAGUCGAGCGGUAACAGGCCUUCGGGUGCUGACGAGUGGCGAACGGGUGAGUAAUGCAUCGGAACGUACCCAGAGGUGGGGGAUAACGCAGCGAAAGCUGUGCUAAUACCGCAUGUGAUCUGAGGAUGAAAGCGGGGGACCGAGCAGCAAUGUUUGGCCUCGCGCCUUUGGAGCGGCCGAUGUCGGAUUAGCCAGUUGGUGGGGUAAAGGCCUACCAAGGCGACGAUCCGUAGCUGGUCUGAGAGGACGACCAGCCACACUGGGACUGAGACACGGCCCAGACUCCUACGGGAGGCAGCAGUGGGGAAUUUUGGACAAUGGGCGCAAGCCUGAUCCAGCAAUGCCGCGUGCGGGAAGAAGGCCUUCGGGUUGUAAACCGCUUUUGGCAGGAACGAAACGGUGUCCGCUAAUACCGGGCGCUAAUGACGGUACCUGCAGAAUAAGCACCGGCUAACUACGUG